rnacentral:rRNA from 1 species
GAGUUUGAUCUUGGCUCAGAUUGAACGCUGGCGGCAGGCCUAACACAUGCAAGUCGAGCGGAUGACGGGAGCUUGCUCCUUGAUUCAGCGGCGGACGGGUGAGUAAUGCCUAGGAAUCUGCCUGGUAGUGGGGGACAACGUUUCGAAAGGAACGCUAAUACCGCAUACGUCCUACGGGAGAAAGCAGGGGACCUUCGGGCCUUGCGCUAUCAGAUGAGCCUAGGUCGGAUUAGCUAGUUGGUGGGGUAAUGGACUCACCAAGGCGACGAUCCGUAACUGGUCUGAGAGGAUGAUCAGUCACACUGGAACUGAGACACGGUCCAGACUCCUAGGGAGCAGCAGU